rnacentral:tRNA from 1 species
GGGGCUGUAGCUCAGUUGGCAGAGCGCGUGGCUCGCAUUCACGAGGCCAGGGGUUCGAAUCCCCUCAGCUCCA